AAAUUAUGGUGAGGGGACAUACUCAAAAGCUUUUGAUAACGUUCCCAUGCUUCAAAAAAUGGCUCAUCUUCCUCUUGUGAAAAAUGCAUGAUUUCUUGCCUCAAAGC